UAUUUGCCAAUUUUUUUUUAUAUCUCUAUCCCUCUCCAUUUUUCAUGUUCAAAUUUGUCUCAGAGUACCAGUCUCCGGCUUUACAGUUCAUUUAUGUUGUCCAGUCUCAGUUACGUUGUCUGGUAAUGUAUACACGAACGCAGUGUCAUAAACAAAUCAACGAGCUCAUGAAUGACAUUUAGGAAUAGAUUUAUGGAAAAGGCCUAAAAGUUUGAUAGGAAAGCGACUUUGUUGUUACAACUUACAAUUUUACAUCGGUGCGGUACAACCCCUUACAUCCGAUUUCGGAUCUAGAAGUAGUGCGAGGCGAUACAAAUGAUCCCUAAUCUUUUGAAUUCUGAAAUCCUAGUCAAACUUGAAGUUAUUAUAAUUUUCCUAUUAUCCGUUGUCCCAAGGCAGAUACUGACUGUAUUCUAUUGGCCAUUGGAACGUUGGUGAACAAUAUUGAAAUAACUCAUCAAUGUGACUAGAUACACUUUUAAUCACACGCCUUGAGAGUAAAAGAAAAAGUGGACGAAGAUUUUCAUUUUGAUAUUUACUAUUACCACCGUGUGACCAUUUUGCCAAACGGGCAGGCUUUUCGAGAUUACACCAUGCCAGCUUGGAGAAAUAUUGGUAACUAAAACGUGAUAACAGACAGAUUUGCAAUGGAAAUAAUGAACGAGAAGAAGAUAUAUCACCGAUUUUGAAAAUAACUGGCCACUCUUCUAAACGGACAGAAAUAAUGAACGAGAAGAAGAAAUAUCACCGAUUUUUAAAAUAACUGGGCGUCUGUGGUGUAUGGAGCUGCAUUACUAAAAGUACUGGUCUGAAGAGCAAUCACAGGUCUGAAGAGCAAAGAAGAAGUGAACGAAAAUUUUCACAUCUGCAAUUGCCACUGCGUGGUGAUGCGUGGCCACUCUUCUUAACAGACAGAAGAAAUCGAUCUGACGAGCCCAGCUUCUCGACGCUCGCAGAAGAAUAUAUUUGGACCAGAAAUCCUACGAAGUUUGACAAUAUGACACGAUAGAGCACAAUCGACUGACUUUAUCCAAAAUGGCAACACCCAUUUUUCAUUAUUAAAUUUCAUUUUAAGCUGCUAUAAAUGUUUGUUGGUACUACUUCUGAAAAUUUUCAUUAUUACUAUUUUUAAUAUAUAGGGCAUCAAAGUCUUGAUUGCGGACAAUCCGCCCUCUCUCUUAACGACUUAAAACAACGAACAAGGGUACUCAAACAUUCGUAAAGAUAAAAAUAAGUUUCAUGAGUGAAUUCAUGCGCCACAAUCAAUAAUAAAAACAAUUGAAUAGAAGCGAAUAAACCGCCGUUUCCCGACAUGUAAUUUCCCUACACGCCUCCUAUAAGUUGUGAACACCCCCUGAAAUUUCACCCCAACCCCCGCCUUCACCUAAGUUUCAUAUGCUGCACCAUACUUCAUACCUUAAUGUAAAUAAAAUUCUGUUUGAUGCAUACUGUUGCCAACCUAUGGAUCUGGGCUGUCCAGAUUGUCGUAGAAGUGUGAUUUUAUUAUGUCCGUUUUAAUAAAUCCACGUCACCCCCACCCCCAACAUCAAACUGAUGAAGAUGAUCAGUCUAAUAUAUAACACUUCUUUAUUAAGGUUUUAUCAAUAACAAUAUUACCUAAUUUAAAAAACACUGAAAUACAGCAACGUAUAGCAAUUCGGAAAUAAAUUUCAAAAGGUCUGAGGGGUAAUAGAACGCAAAUGGUAGCCAACAAUAUAAAGCCUAGAGAUCUGUUUUCCAGUGAUAAUUUAUUUGUAGAUUUUCGGGCGCUGCUGCAUAAAGUGAGGGAUUGAAAUCUUAUUUUCUUUUAUAACUAAGCUACAUUUUCGUGGAAACAGUAAAAUUGGGGUCUAGUUCUGAAAAAAGGUAAACUUAUAUUUAUUUCAUUAUGGUUUCUUAUAUUCACAAUGAAAA